rnacentral:tRNA from 1 species
GGGGCUGUAGCUCAGUGGUAGAGCACUUGCCUGGCAUGUGUGAGGCACUGGGUUCAAUCCUCAGUACCA